rnacentral:tRNA from 1 species
GGGGAUGUAGCUCAAUUGGUAGAGCGCUAAUCAAUAGCAGAAUUGGUUCGAUUCCUCGCAUCUCCA